AUGCAACGCGAAGAACCUUACCUGGUCUUGACAUCCGGAGACCCUUAGGAAACUAGGGGUGCUUCCACCUGGAAGAAUCUGGAGACAGGUGCUGCAUGGCUGUCGUCAGCUCGUGUCGUGAGAUGUUGGGUUAAGUCCCGCAACGAGCGCAACCCUUGCCUUUAGUUGCCAGCAGUUCGGCUGGGCACUCUAAAGGGACUGCCGGUGUUAAACCGGAGGAAGGUGGGGAUGACGUCAAGUCCUCACGGCCUUUAUGACCAGGGCUACACACGUACUACAAUGGCCGAUACAAAGGGCAGCGACACUGCGAGGUGAAGCCAAUCCCGUAAAAUCGGUCUCAGUCCGGAUUGGAGUCUGCAACUCGACUCCAUGAAGUUGGAAUCGCUAGUAAUCGUGGAUCAGCAUGCCACGGUGAAUACGUUCCCGGGCCUU
rnacentral:rRNA from 1 species